rnacentral:rRNA from 1 species
GGGGAAUUUUGGACAAUGGGCGCAAGCCUGAUCCAGCCAUGCCGCGUGUCUGAAGAAGGCCUUCGGGUUGUAAAGGACUUUUGUCAGGGAAGAAAAGGCUGUUGCUAAUAUCGACAGCUGAUGACGGUACCUGAAGAAUAAGCACCGGCUAACUACGUGCCAGCAGCCGCGGUAAUACGUAGGGUGCGAGCGUUAAUCGGAAUUACUGGGCGUAAAGCGGGCGCAGACGGUUACUUAAGCAGGAUGUGAAAUCCCCGGGCUCAACCUGGGAACUGCGUUCUGAACUGGGUGACUAGAGUGUGUCAGAGGGAGGUAGAAUUCCACGUGUAGCAGUGAAAUGCGUAGAGAUGUGGAGGAAUACCGAUGGCGAAGGCAGCCUCCUGGGAUAACACUGACGUUCAUGCUCGAAAGCGUGGGUAGCAAACAGGAUUAGAUACCCUGGUAGUCCACGCCCUAAACGAUGUCAAUUAGCUGUUGGGCAACUUGAUUGCUUAGUAGCGUAGCUAACGCGUGAAAUUGACCGCCUGGGGAGUACGGUCGCAAGAUUA